AGAGUUUGAUCAUGGCUCAGAACGUACGCUGGCGGCACGCCUAACACAUGCAAGUCGAACGAAGUAGCAAUACUUAGUGGCAGACGGGUGAGUAACAUGUGGGUAUCUGCCCUUUGGCCUGGAAUAACACGAGGAAACUUGUGCUAAUACCGGAUAAGUCUUUACGGAGAAAGCUUUAUGCACCAUUGGAUGAGCCCGCACUUGAUUAGUUUGUUGGUAGGGUAAUGGCCUACCAAGACUUUGAUCAAUAGCUGAUUUGAGAGGAUGAUCAGCCACAUUGGGACUGAGACACGGCCCAAACUCCUACGGGAGGCAGCAGUGGGGAAUCUUGCACAAUGGAGGAAACUCUGAUGCAGCGAUGCCGCGUGAGUGAAGAAGGCCCUUGGGUUGUAAAGCUCUUUCGUCGGGGAAGAAAAUGACUGUACCCGAAUAAGAAGGUCCGGCUAACUUCGUGCCAGCCGCCGCGGU
rnacentral:rRNA from 1 species